UGCGCAGGCGGUUGGGUGUGUCAGAUGUGAAAUCCCGAGGCUCAACCUCGGAACUGCGUCUGAAACUACUCGACUAGAGUACUGGAGAGGGUAACGGAAUUCACGGUGUAGCAGUGAAAUGCGUAGAUAUCGUGAGGAACACCAGAGGCGAAGGCGGUUACCUGGACAGUUACUGACGCUCAGGCACGAAAGCAUGGGGAGCAAAAG
rnacentral:rRNA from 1 species